rnacentral:lncRNA from 1 species
CUGUGAAUGGAGCGGGAAAUAACUCACAUUUAAGCGAAAUGCAAAUGAAAACCAAUGCCCUUGGGGGUCUGUGCUCCGUACCUACAGUGAUUGCCACACCCUUCCUUUCUGCACCUCUCGGUGUUGCUGGGAAAAUGUGGGACCUUCCUGCCCUAACCCGAUCGUUGUCGUACCCGCUUUUUGCGCUCCACUCUUCAGACCUUGACCGCUGUCCACUGCCUGCCUCUUGCACGCUGCGGAGGGUUCCACAGGCGAUGCAAUGCACAGGGCCCUGGAUAGAAGGCCUGGACUCUCGCUCCCCUGCUUGGGUUCCCUUUCAGCCCUGCCGCCGCGUGUGCUCCACUCCCAUCCUACCCCUUGUAGCCAGCAGAGGGCCCCGGGGCGCCAAGGGGCAGGUAUGCGUUUACCCCCCUCCCCUCCGAAGGACACCUGCUUUCCUGCCGGCUGCGCUCUCAAAACCUGAGCUGCUGUUUGGGAGGUGACAUUGUGGGGAAGCUUCAGCGUUUUGUUUAUGUUUUUAUCCCCCCUUCUCCGGUAGAGAGCUGUUGGCCAGAAAGGCUCUUCUGGAUUAGGUGGAAGGGCAGUUGGGGCCGCCACAUGAGCCAUUCUAGAGCAAGAGAAAUUUAGAGUUCAGGCAAGGACACAGCUCUGCAUGAGUCACUGAGCUGCCUGGGAUAAGAAACAAUUUGAGAGUUCGAACACUGUAGAGUACUAGGCUGCCAUCAAAAGGACCACUGUAGCAUCGUGGGUGCUGUGUGAUGUAUACAAAGGGAGAAAAGGCAAGGUACACAGCAGUGUGCAGAGUAUGUGAACAGCUACCAAGGAUAAACAUGUCCGGAAUCCAGUCAGUCCUCACAAUGCUACUGCUCUAAGCCUGGCCGGGGUCACCAAAGCGUCUGGAUUAUUCUCACUACCUCCUGAGAGGUCUCUCUCUCUUUGCUUUUUUGGGGACAGGGUCUCACUGUGUAGAUCAGGCUGGCCUUGAACUCACUAUGUAGCCCAGGCUGGCCUCCAACUUGCAUUGAUCCUCCUGCCUCAGCCUCCUGAGGGCUGCAAUUACAGGCCAGGAGAUCUCUUACAUUCUUUUUUUUUUUUUUUUGGUACC